GUCCCUAGGUGGUGAUCAAGAUUUUUGGGGGUAAUGGAAUUGAGCUUUUCCAUAGUGGAAUAGAUGGGUUUUUGUGACCCAACUUGGCUUCUUAUUUUUGAGUUCUUCAAGCAAUUCCUAACAUUUGCACAAGAUUUGAUCUGAUUGUCACUCUCUGUUUUUGCCCUCUGUGAACUAAAACCAAGGUUAGAUUUUCACUUUCUCAUGUCUAUGCUCAGUGAUAAUCUUGUUCUUGUAUAGUAUUAGCGUUUAGAUUUUGUGGGUUGUGUUUCUUUUUUUCUGGGUUGAUUCUAGUUUGGAGCUUUGAUCUCAUAGUCACUCUGUUUUGGCCUCUGUGAGCUGAAAACAAGGUUAGAUUUUCACUUUCUCAUGUCUUUGUUCAGUGAUAAUAUUGUUCUUGUCUAGUAUUAGCCUUUAGAAUUUGAGGGUUGUGUUUCUUUUUUACUGGGUUAAUUCUAGUUUUGAGUUUUAUCUCAUAGUCACUUUGUUUGGGCCUCUGUGAGUUGAAAACAAGGUUAGAUUUUCACUUUCCCAUGUCUAUGCUCAUUGGGAAUAUUGUUUAUUUGUAAUAUUAGCUUUUAGAUUUUGUGGGUUCUAUUUCUUUUUUUUUUUUUUUGGGUUAAUUCAAGUUUUGGGUUUGAUUUUGUAUGCACAUAUGUGAAAUAGUUGUAUUUUAGGAUCUAAUUAUCUGAAAAAUUUAUUCAUUUAAGGCCGUGUCUGUGUGUGUACUUUCUGAUGAUCUGAGCAAGUAUUGAUCCAUAUAUCAGUGUAUAAAAUUUGCUAAUUUGAAAUCAAGUUUGAAUCAGAACAACUAGAGCUUUGGUUAUAUAAUUCUUGCUUGAAGAGCAUAAACUUCGAUCUUUAAUACAGUCAAAGAGGAAGAAGAUGAAUCACAUUUUUAUUGGGUUGAUCAUCUUAGUUUUCUGGUCUUGAUAGAGCCUGUAAGGAAAUGUGAUGUUUUAAGCAGCAUAUGAAGCAUAUUCACAUAAAAUUCCAGUUUUGUUAGAGCAUCUACAAUCUUUCACUAAUUCGUUUUUCACGUUGCAUUUCUUUAGCUUCAUUGCUUAAGGCGCACACUAUUUUUUAGGUAUGUCAACUACAUGCAAUUAUGAUUUGGAUUAUGAGCACUUGUAGUAUUGUUUGAUCUGAUUUUGUUAUGGAUUUUUUAUCAACAUCCCCUUGUGCUGUGGCAUUCUUUGAUAGAAUCUUACUAUGUAGUUUACAAGGAGAUAUAAGUAUAGAACAUGGACUGCCAUUGCAUUGACAUAUAUGUGAGAAGAAAGUUGGGGCUUCAGGUUCCUUGAUUCUGAUUGUUGACGUUAGGUGCUGAUUAUGUAAUAUGUGCAUAUCAUUAGAAUUAUUUCUCCUUUGACUAUGACUUGGCGGUAGCAAUCAAUGCAAGUAAAAAUCGCUAGGUGGUUGGCAUGCUUUUCCUUGUAUGAGAGAAAACACGGAAAAUCCCCUCCAUCCUGUAACAUAGGGGAAAAAACUUUCCCCUGAAUCAUGAAAAUUAUAUAUAUUACUGAUGAUAUUUUUUCUUUGGGGCAUUCCUCUUUUUGAUUUCUUGGUGCAUACUUUUACUUGCUAAUUGUUCUAUUAUGUAAUCAUAUGUAUUAUGUGUCCUAAUCUCUGAAACUUACACACAGGGUGUUGUAUAUUCUUACACACCCUUUUCACCUUCUGAUAUAUUUGUAGCAUUGGCAUUGUGUUUCGAUGUGUCCAGGGGAAAAUAGAGCCAGUAUUUCAAUAGUGCUUUUCUAGGAUACACCGUUGGUUUGGUCCUUACUAUUAUUGUCAUGAAUUGGUUUCAAGCUGCACAGAACCUGAACAUCCAAGUGACAAAUUGAUGAAGAACAAUUGUGAAAGGACCUUCAGCCCAACAACAGUGUCUCUAGUAUCAGUAUCAGCAUCAGCAUCAUCACCACAAUUGUUAUUAAGAUUUUCUUUAGCUUGGAUUUUAAUUGUUGGUUUGGAUAGUAUAUGUAUUUGUUGGAUUAUACCAUAUUUAUGGAUUUUUAUUUUGUUUGAUAUGUACGGUUAAUAGUUAAGUUUUGUAUGUGGUUGAAAAUCGAAUGGUACAGGUUGUAAAGAAAUAUUUUUAUUGAAUGGUUAAGAAUUGAAUGAAUGAAUGAA